CCCUUCUGUGAACCUACCUAUCGUUGCUUCGGCGGACUCGCCCCAGCCCGGACGCGGACUGGACCAGCGGCCCGCCGGGGACCUCAAACUCUUGUAUUCCAGCAUCUUCUGAAUACGCCGCAAGGCAAAACAAAUGAAUCAAAACUUUCAACAACGGAUCUCUUGGCUCUGGCAUCGAUGAAGAACGCAGCGAAACGCGAUAAGUAAUGUGAAUUGCAGAAUCCAGUGAAUCAUCGAAUCUUUGAACGCACAUUGCGCCCGCCAGCAUUCUGGCGGGCAUGCCUGUUCGAGCGUCAUUUCAACCCUCGACCUCCCCUUGGGGAGGUCGGCGUUGGGGACCGGCAGCACACCGCCGGCCCUGAAAUGGAGUGGCGGCCCGUCCGCGGCGACCUCUGCGCAGUAAUACAGCUCGCACCGGAACCCCGACGCGGCCACGCCGUAAAACACCCAACUUCUGAACGUUGACCUCGAAUCAGGUAGGACUACCCGCUGAACUUAAGCAUAUCAAU
rnacentral:rRNA from 1 species